rnacentral:rRNA from 1 species
CCUACGGUGGGCAGCAGUGGGGAAUAUUGGGCAAUGGAGGAAACUCUGACCCAGCAACGCCGCGUGAAGGAUGAAGGUUUUCGGAUUGUAAACUUCUGUCGCGAGGGAAGAACAUGACGGUACCUGACUCAGAAGCCACGGCUAACUACGUGCCAGCAGCCGCGGUAAUACGUAGGGGGCAAGCGUUAUCCGGAUUUACUGGGUGUAAAGGGAGCGUAGACGGUGCAGCAAGUCUGAUGUGAAAGGUCGGGGCCCAACCCCGGGACUGCAUUGGAGACUGUUGAACUGGAGUACAGGAGAGGUAAGCGGAAUUCCUAGUGUAGCGGUGAUAUGCGUAGAUAUUAGGAGGAACACCAGUGGCGAAGGCGGCUUACUGGACUGUAACUGACGUUGAGGCUCGAAAGCGUGGGGAGCAAACAGGAUUAGAUACCCCUGUAGUC